rnacentral:rRNA from 1 species
AUUGAACGCUGGCGGCAGGCCUAACACAUGCAAGUCGAGCGAGCGGCGGACGGUUGAGUAAUGUCUGGGUAACUGCUUGAUGGAGGGGGUUAACUACUUGAAACGGUAUCCAAUACCGCAUACUAUCAGAUCUGUCCCGGUGGGAUUAGCUAGUAGGUGGGGUAACGGCUCACUUAGGCGACAAUCGCUAGCUGGUCUGAGAGGAUGACUAGCCACACUGGAACUGAGACACGGUCCAGACUCCUACGGGGGGCAGCAGUGGGGAAUAGUGGACAAUGGGCGAAAGCCUGAUCCAGCCAUGCCGGGUGUGUGAAGAAGGUCUUCGGAUUGUAAAGCACUUUAAGUUGGGAGGCGUUACCAACAGAAUAAGCACCGGCUAACUACGUGCCAGCAGCCGCGGUAAUUC